rnacentral:rRNA from 1 species
GAUGAACGCUGGCGGCGUGCCUAAUACAUGCAAGUCGAGCGAACAGACGAGGAGCUUGCUCCUCUGACGUUAGCGGCGGACGGGUGAGUAACACGUGGAUAACCUACCUAUAAGACUGGGAUAACUUCGGGAAACCGGAGCUAAUACCGGAUAAUAUAUUGAACCGCAUGGUUCAAUAGUGAAAGACGGUUUUGCUGUCACUUAUAGAUGGAUCCGCGCCGCAUUAGCUAGUUGGUAAGGUAACGGCUUACCAAGGCAACGAUGCGUAGCCGACCUGAGAGGGUGAUCGGCCACACUGGAACUGAGACACGGUCCAGACUCCUGCGGGAGGCAGCAGUAGGGAAUCUUCCGCAAUGGGCGAAAGCUUGACGGAGCAACGCCGCGUGAGUGAUGAAGGUCUUCGGAUCGUAAAACUCUGUUAUUAGGGAAGAACAAAUGUGUAAGUAACUAUGCACGUCUUGACGGUACCUAAUCAGAAAGCCACGGCUAACUACGUG